UACGAAGGGGGCUAGCGUUGUUCGGAAUCACUGGGCGUAAAGCGCACGUAGGCGGCGCGUUAAGUCGGGUGUGAAAGCCCUGGGCUCAACCCAGGAAGUGCAUUCGAAACUGGCGCGCUUGAAUAUGGAAGAGGGUCGCGGAAUUCCCGGUGUAGAGGUGAAAUUCGUAGAUAUCGGGAGGAACACCAGUGGCGAAGGCGGCGACCUGGGCCAAUAUUGACGCUGAGGUGCGAAAGCGUGGGGAGCAAACAGG
rnacentral:rRNA from 1 species